GUUUGAUCCUGGCUCAGGACGAACGCUGGCGGCGUGCCUAACACAUGCAAGUCGAGCGAAUGAAGUUCCUUCGGGAACGGAUUUAGCGGCGGACGGGUGAGUAACACGUGGGCAACCUGCCUCAUAGAGGGGAAUAGCCUUCCGAAAGGGAGAUUAAUACCGCAUAAGAUUGUAGUACCGCAUGGUACAGCAAUUAAAGGAGCAAUCCGCUAUGAGAUGGGCCCGCGGCGCAUUAGCUAGUUGGUGAGGUAACGGCUCACCAAGGCGACGAUGCGUAGCCGACCUGAGAGGGUGAUCGGCCACAUUGGGACUGAGACACGGCCCAGACUCCUACGGGAGGCAGCAGUGGGGAAUAUUGCACAAUGGGGGAAACCCUGAUGCAGCAACGCCGCGUGAGUGAUGACGGCCUUCGGGUUGUAAAGCUCUGUCUUCAGGGACGAUAAUGACGGUACCUGAGGAGGAAGCCACGGCUAACUACGUGCCAGCAGCCGCGGUAAUACGUAGGUGGCGAGCGUUGUCCGGAUUUACUGGGCGUAAAGGGAGCGUAGGCGGAUUUUUAAGUGAGAUGUGAAAUACUCGGGCUUAACCUGAGUGCUGCAUUUCAAACUGGAAGUCUAGAGUGCAGGAGAGGAGAAGGGAAUUCCUAGUGUAGCGGUGAAAUGCGUAGAGAUUAGGAAGAACACCAGUGGCGAAGGCGCUUCUCUGGACUGUAACUGACGCUGAGGCUCGAAAGCGUGGGGAGCAAACAGGAUUAGAUACCCUGGUAGUCCACGCCGUAAACGAUGGAUACUAGGUGUGGGAGGUAUUGACCCCUUCCGUGCCG
rnacentral:rRNA from 1 species